rnacentral:rRNA from 1 species
GACGAACGCUGGCGGCGUGCUUAACACAUGCAAGUCGAACGGAAAGGCCCUUUCGGGGGUACUCGAGUGGCGAACGGGUGAGUAACACGUGGGUGAUCUGCCCUGCACUUUGGGAUAAGCCUGGGAAACUGGGUCUAAUACCGGAUAGGACUACGCGAUGCAUGUCGUGUGGUGGAAAGCUUUUGCGGUGUGGGAUGGGCCCGCGGCCUAUCAGCUUGUUGGUGGGGUGAUGGCCUACCAAGGCGACGACGGGUAGCCGGCCUGGGAGGGUGGCCGGCCACACUGGGACUGAGAUACGGCCCAGACUCCUACGGGAGGCAGCAGUGGGGAAUAUUGCACAAUGGGCGCAAGCCUGAUGCAGCGACGCCGCGUGAGGGAUGACGGCCUUCGGGUUGUAAACCUCUUUCAGUGCCGACGAAGCGCAAGUGACGGUAGGCAUAGAAGAAGGACCGGCCAACUACGUGCCAGCAGCCGCGGUAAAAC